UUUAAAAAUUUUCGAAUUAUUUAAUUUUUUAUAGUGUAUAGAAGAAAAUUUUUUUUCAAAACUCCAUCCAUAAUAUUUAAUAUUCGUUACAUUUUAUUCCGAAGAAUUCUCUCUCAUUUUCCAUUUCAAAAUUCUAUUUUAAAUUCACCUUUAACCACAAUUUCGCGCUAAAAUUUCUUUCUCGAAACUCUUAGGAAACCAUGUUCCAAGAGAAGUGAUCACCGAACAAAGGUGUCCCUCCUAACUUCUAAUAUUGAGAGCUUGACACAUCGGGAAGUCAGUGGCUCGAAGCCAAGAGAGACAGAGAGAGAGAGAGAGAGAGAGAGACCUCCUCGUUCGCUGGACGAUGACCCUGAAUGUUCACCUAACGUUCCAUCCACAAUGAUUCGAUCCCCUCGAAUGAUCGAUCUCGACCGAAUCGCGGAUCUGGAAAAUCGGAUCGAAGUAAUCCGUGCCACGGUGUCGCGUGAACCGUGACGCGUUUUCCCGGAUGAUCGGCCCCGUGGACUUUGUCACAAAGCCCUGGCCAAUGGCGAAACUCGUUUUUGCAAAGUGAUCGUUCAUCGAGACGCGAUCGAAGCUUGGUGAAAAACGACGAAAAGAGGUUUAAAAAAAAAAGGCGUUGGUUUCGAACUAACCGACUGGCCGAACAAAGUCAAUUACAGGGAACAACAUUGGAACGGGUCGAGUCGUACCGGAUGCACUACUCUCUCUUUCUCCCCCUGUUGUUUUGUUGCUUUUAUUAGGAAACGAAGGUAGCCAGUUCUAAUACGAUUGAAGUAACUCGAAUCUCAAGGGAGAAGGUAAAAAUCUUCGAAAUUAUAGAGGUUUCAUCUUGUUCGCGUUAUACAAUGGUUCGUGAAUAUAUUUGAAUAAGUUUUUUAUUUUUAUUUUUAACGAAAAUUCGGGAUGUAAUUGGGUGGUAAUGUAAAUUCGGGAUCGGUGAAAAUUCAAAAUUUCAACGCGUGUUCAUUUUUCACGUUUGGGGAAAAUUUUUAAAUUAAAAAAAAAUUAGAUUAUAUUUUCGAGGUUAAUUAAUUUUAGAAGUUAUUCAAGUUAUUAAUUCGAAUAUCUAUAAGGAAGUAUAAUAGGAAUUUAAUUAUAAUCGUUACAACAAGACGGCAUUAACGUAUCGCGUAUUUCUCCUCAGUUUAUCCUACUUAUGUAGUUUUGCUAUCGAGAUAUUUUUCGUAUAGUUAUCAGCAUGAAUUAUUCGACGAAUUAUACGCAUUGGAAUUUCUUCUACCAAGCGAAAAAGACGUAAACGUUGGAUACGAGGGCAGCGAUAAUUAGCCGAGGAACGAGUGAAAAGAUAUUUUCACGAGAGACCAAUUUGCUAGGAAUCAUGAAGUUAUAAAAGGCCAUUAAGAGAAUCGCGAAACAGCGAUGGUGCAGAGGGCAGAGAUAUUACGGAAAAAUUGGAUUUGAGGAUUCGUGGAAAAAUGUCUUCGAAGUUAAAACCGUAGAUAAUUAAUUAGUCGACGAUAAUCCCGUUUCUCGUUAGUGAAACAACACGGGCUGUGCUUCUCUCGUGUCAAGGCUGUGUCUCAUUUUUCUCGAUUUGAUUUCGUCCUGGUAUUCCGUGGAAUGUUAAUAAUGUACUAUAAUUAGAAUACUUUUAAUCUUGAAGUGAAAAGAUUAAUAAAAGUUUUUUUCAGUGGAACGAGAUUUUUUCCUUAAUCGAAUCAAUUUGUUGUGUGUGUAUAAACAAAAUGGAAAUAAUAUUAUAAUCUCGAAGAAAAUAAAAAAAGAAUUUUAUCGAAAGUUUUUAAAUUUGAAGAGGAUUUUUUUUGAUGAUAUUUUGUCGUAACAUUCGAUUGUAAAAAUACUCGGCCAUAUUGAAUAUUUUAUGAGAAAUUGGAUGCAGUAAAAAGUAGCAACUUAUGUAUAUUUGUUACUUGGACGAGAGCCUAAUUGUUUAAGGAGAAAAUAUUAUGCAGGAUAAGAAAUCAUAUAUUUUAUAUUGAAUUUUAUAAAAUUCAAUUAUAAAAACAAAGAAGAAGAAAUACUUGAGAAUGUUAUAAGAGAGGAGUUUAAAAAAAUUCUAUCAAAAUUCAUGAAGAGAUAGCAUACCGACGUAUUCACCGAAAAUUCUAACGUAAUUUACGAGAAAACAUGGGAGGAAGAAAGAAACGAUCGAUUAUUUAAUCGAAAGGUUUUCUAUUCGAUAAAACUAAUAAUUCUUUUCGAUAUAAAAUAUAUGAUCUUCGUUGAAGGA